rnacentral:rRNA from 1 species
CCUACGGGUGGCAGCAGUGAGGAAUAUUGGUCAAUGGACGAGAGUCUGAACCAGCCAAGUAGCGUGCAGGAUGACUGCCCUAUGGGUUGUAAACUUCUUUUAUAAAGGAAUAAAACGAGGCACGUGUGCCUUUUUGCAUGUACUUUAUGAAUAAGGAUCGGCUAACUCCGUGCCAGCAGCCGCGGUAAUACGGGGGAUGCAAGCGUUAUCCGGAUUUAUUGCGUUUAAAGGGUGCGUAGGCUGUGAGGUAAGUCAGCGGUGAAAUGCCCCCGCUCAACGGGGUGAAGUGCCCUGGAUACUGGCGUGCUGGAAUGCGGAUGCCGGAGGCGGAAUGUGUGGUGUAGCGGUGAAAUGCAUAGAUAUCACACAGAACACCGAUUGCGAAGGCAGCUCACGAAUCCGCGAUUGACGCUGAUGCACGAAAGCGUGGGUAUCAAACAGGAUUAGAUACCCUAGUAGUC